rnacentral:rRNA from 1 species
AUUGAACGCUGGCGGCAGGCCUAACACAUGCAAGUCGAGCGGAAGCAGGGAGUUUGCUCCUGGCUUCAGCGGCGCACGGGUGUGUUACGCCUAGGAAUCUGCCUGGUUGUGGGGGAUAACGUCCGGAAAUGGGCGCAAAUACCGCAUAAGCCCUGAGGGAGAGCGUGGGGGCUCUUCGCAACUCUUGCCAUCACACGAGUCGAGGUCAGAUUAGCUAGUUGGUGGGGUAAAGGCCUACCAAGGCGACGAUCCGUAACUGGUCUGAGAGGAUGAUCAGUCACACUGGGACUGAGACACGGUCCAGACUCCUACGGGAGGCAGCAGUGGGGAAUAUUGGACAAUGGGCGAAAGCCUGAUCCAGCCAUGCCGCGUGUGGGAAGAAGGUCUUCGGAUUGUAAAGCGCUUUAGGUUGGGAGGAAAAGCAGUAGGUUAAUACCUGGCGCUGAUGACGGUACCGUAAGAAUAAGCACCGGCUAACUACGUG